rnacentral:rRNA from 1 species
UACGUAGGGACCGAGCGUUGUCCGGAAUCAUUGGGCGUAAAGAGCUCGUAGGCGGUUUGUCGCGUCGAAUGUGAAAACCCGGGGCUCAACCCCGGGCCUGCAUUCGAUACGGGCAGACUAGAGUUCGGUAGGGGAGUCUGGAAUUCCUGGUGUAGCGGUGAAAUGCGCAGAUAUCAGGAGGAACACCGGUGGCGAAGGCGGGACUCUGGGCCGAUACUGACGCUGAGGAGCGAAAGCGUGGGGAGCGAACAGG